rnacentral:lncRNA from 1 species
UGGACCAGGAAGCCCAUGAUCUGCACCUGCUUCUGGUUGUCGAAGGCCACCAGGCGCACGUAGGCAUCGGGGAAGGCCUUGGUGCAGGCGACGAUCUCGCGCAGCACCUGCAUGGGGUCGCGGCAGCCGAACAUGGGCAGCUUCCACAUGGUCCAGUAGCGGUUGUCGUAGUACAGCUGCGGGCGCACGGGAAAUGGGAGGGAGAAGAGGUUCAGUCACCAGCGCACAGAACCACCAAAGAUGGAAUUGGGCCCCUUGCUUUUCCGUGCUGAAGCACGAGCAGGGGUAUGCGUCAGUUCCCCGCGGUGAGAUAGGCGCUGUCCCGGUGCCAAGCUAACCCAGUGCCACAGUGGACCCGUCUGGCUCUCGCUCCGACUUACGCAAGACACGCUGCCGAAGCGGAUGGCCGACUCGUUGGACACGUAGGCCUUGUCGGCCUCAGCGAACUCCAGGCAGGGGAUCCAGCCUGCAAGCGACAGCACGAAGGGGGUAAGAUAAGUGGCCGACGCAAGCAGUCCAGGGCUAUCCCAGAUAAGGGCGGAUGACAGGCAAACUAUACAGCAGACAACGAACAAGCUAAUCUCAAGCUUCGAGCGAUCGUAAUGUCGCAGUCUGCAGCUACGCCCUAGAUCGUAUUAACUAGCUCUCAAACACAGCCCAGCUACAUAUGCCCACGGCACCAAGCCGUGCUCACCGUUGGCGACGAUGUAGUCGACCUGGGCGGCGAUCUGCUCGUCGGUCAGAGGAGGCAGGUAGGAGAAGGUCUCGAACAUCCUGCGAUCACGCGAUUGACCAGUACUCGUUAGAAGUGGCAGAGCACGUGCGAUGUGAGGCAGCAGGCUGGGCCCCAAGCAAUUGCGUCGCGACUUGCAGAAUCCCUAUCCUUCGGGCUGCGCUUGCUCGUCGACUCACUUGUUGUUGACCGGGGUCCAGACCAUCAUCUGGUUGGCCUGAGCCGGGGCAGCCACGGGGGCAGCCUUGACGGCGGGCUUCAGCGCGGCCAUGGGGCGCACGCUGGAGCGGGCCGGGCGAGCCACGGCCGCGGAGACGGAGGACUUGGCAAUGACGGCGGCCAUUUUAGAUGUUUGAGAAAGUGGUCGAAUGAACGAGUAAGUUCUUGGGACAAAGACUCGGAGGUGGCCGGUCGCCGUUUUCAAUCCCCGCUCGCCGAUGACCCGUACGGCAGGCUUAUCCGACUCGUCGGCUUUCACGACCGCCCGAGCCUGCGCGCUUCAUCCGCUUCCGGAUAGCUUGCUACGAUAAUGCAUUAUUCAAUUUUACGACGCAAUGUCAUGAGCAGCGCCGGGCGGGCUUAUUUACAUGCGUCGCCUCGCUCGCCGUUGACUUGAUACUUUGGAAAUUCGGGCUCGAUUCGUUGCUACAGCCUGCCUUUUGCACACAAUGUGAACGUCGAUUCUACAUUUGUAUGUGACUGAACUUCGCGGCCCCUACUGAACGUUUCGUGCAAGCGACAUGUCGACUCACAACUUGGAGGAACGCGCGAGGGGUCCCCACACGCACUUUCAGCCUGCUUUGGCGAAAUGGACAUGAUAGGUAUAGCCAGGAUAUGGGUCUGCUAGCUCGCCUGGUGUUUUGACCGUCGAUCGGUUUCGCGUUGGGCCUUGCGGCUGCUCGCUCGCCGCGGAUGCUUCCGCACACUGCGCGGCACGUGUUAGUCUGUGCACGACGACGGUUUGUUUGUAUUGCGCCGCCAACGUUCAACGGUGGUGGUAGGUUCGAAUGUCAGAAUGUCGGGCACGGGGACCUUGGGCGCAUUGCCUACAAGCGCGUGCCUGUGUUUUUGGGGGGCAGAGAAGUGAGCCUGCCUAUUGGGUCACAAUAGCACAGAGGCGGGUGGCCAGCGUCGGGAACUGGUUCAGAACGGCUGCAGGGACAGCACCGUGCGUGCGUGUGUGUGUGGGGGGAGCCUUCAAAGUUGACGAGCUUCGCAGCGCUGGGAUGGACUGGCAUUGCGUGCUUGAGUUUGCGUCCCGUGAGAACCCUGCAGUUUAUGGCGGAGACAGGGAAGAGGGAAUGGGAUCGCGCCGGUGCAGGGAAAGGGCACGAAUCUGAGGUUACGGUAUCUGGGGGGAGGUGCCCAUGUGGGAGGGGAAGCCUAACUGCCUGUCUGGGUGCAGACCAGGAAUGGCAACACGUGAACGGUUAGUAGAGAGCUGUGUGCUGUUGGGCGCUCUCGGCAAGGGGCGUGGGAGGGGGCUGGGUUGGUGGGCGGCUGUCCGCACAGUGCCUAGCAGUGCGCACUCAGGCCCUUCGCAGACCGAAGAGGGCGCCAGGGCCUAUGCGCGCGUGGCUUGGCGUGAGGUUCUUGCUGUUGGCGUCAGGCGCCGCAAAAGGCCGGGUGGCUCUGCAGUGUCCUGCUCGCUUGGCGUGCGGCAAAGUGGUUCAGUCAGCGAGCGCAGUGUAUGCGUGUGUGCGUGUAUGCGUGUGCGUGCGUGUGUGUGUGUGUGUGUGUGUGUGUGUGUGUGUGUGUGUGGUUGCUGCGGAGAGGGCACGCAGCGACACGAGAUUGCCAUGCAGUGGUGCAAGCUGCUGGGGUCGGGUAAACGGGGUGGGAAAGUUGGUGAUGGUGGAAUGUUCUUGUGGCACGAACUGGCCUUGUGCGUAUUCGUUCGCCCCGUUCACUCUGGUCCACCAAUCCCACAGUCACUGCACUUAAAUGCCUAAAAGCCCCUGCUACGGUGCGGACAGGGUAAGGCCACGGCAGGUCUAAGUCCAUAUGCGCCCGUAGAGGUUCGAGUGCGUUAACCGGUCGCAAGGUGUUCACAACAUGUUGAUGUGUUGACAACAUGGCUGUGGUCAAGACGUGCCCUGCGAACUUCCCGUGUUUACAUGUUAAUAGAGCUCGCUGACAGCAGUCAUUUGACACCAUUAUGGAAGAAAACAGAGGGGAUUUAGGGGGUGUACGGCACGGUAUGGCACGGUCGGUCGUCGGUCCGGGGGGUCGGGGGGUUCUGCAGGGUGGGGCCUGGAACUAUUGUUCGUACACCCCCGCCUGGCUCCCCUGCUCCCCCUGACUAACCCCUGACCUCUGGCUUUCUUCGCUUUCCUUUCAGUGUCACCAAUUCUCAUGAGUGGGGGCGCACCCCGAAAUAAGCGGGUACGGUGCUUCAGUUCAGUGCUUGCCACGGCCUCAAGAGCCCCAAACCACGUGCACCGAAAUUCGCUUGCACUCCAAAUGCACUGGGAAGCCAGUAGCAGCGCGCUCUCAAAUGCUGGCAUGUGUCUCUCUCUGUCCAGAGCCUGAAUGCGCCAAGUCUGCUACGGUAGGAGGGUGCAACCCGUGGCCCGCCUUGAACCGCGCUUGCACACACAGCUGGAUUGCUGCUGGCAUGACCGUGUGAAAGAGGUACAGGCAGCCGGGCAAGUCCCAGCGGGCAGGUUGGUGUAGGCUAUGCCCCAUAACAGGCCCGUGCAUGCUGCCACGGACUUCUCGCCAGGAAUGUAAGUCCCGAUGCUAGACAAUUACUCCAGCAGCUGCAUGCCGCCAUCUUCAGUACUCGGUAUCCCUUGGUGCACGCAAGUCAAGGAUCAGUCCCAGGGCUCACCCUGGAGCAAUGCAGCCUGCGUGUGCACCUGCGAUGGAGCCGCGGCCUGCGGUAUUGGCUGCCCGAUUACGAAGCUGCGGGUGGGGGCAGUUGGCACGCAUUCCGCCACAGACCCCGCGAGCCUAGCCGCACCCAAGCUCUAAGCGGCCUAGACCGUGACCAAAGGCGAAGAAGCCGCGGCCAUCCCUGCGCUCAGAUUGCAUUGGUUACAAGAGGGACCUGCUGACGCAGUUCAUGGCUUCAUGCGCUCAGAGCCCGAGCCCUGAGCGGCAGCAAAAGCAGAAGCCACGCUACGUGUGCUAGCUACGACCAAUGCCUUGUACAGCUCUCCUCGGCUGCGCUCUUCGGCUGCGCUCCUCGGCUGCGCGGGACAGGGGACUCCGUGCAACCACUAUUGCUUAUAGCCUGCACCAGUCAUUGACGAGUGUUGCGGAACUAAUGCGUACGUAGACCAGAGCGGAAGGCGGAGUGGGCUUGCAGGCGGCACGAGAGUAGGCAGUCAGUAGCGCAAGUUGCGAAUUCCCAUGUUACCUCGUAACCGACGGUAAACGCUGUGGACGGUCGCGCCCAUGGCUGGCUGACGGAAGCUGGCUGCGGUAUUGGGAUGGCUGGGCUGGAUGACGCCGGCCGGGCUGGCGUUGGGACUACCAGAAAGGAUGCGCCCGAAACCAACCUGGAGAACACCAGCGCCACCGGUGCCCAGCACGACAUGUAAGGGAGGGAGGGAGGGACAGGAGGCGUGAUGCACUGCAGCGUAGAAGCUGCAGUCAUGGGCACAGCUUGUACCAUACAGCACGGUCAUCAAGGACACAAUGCCGGAACGGCAUCAUACGAGGCGGGGUUGGGAGCUGCAGGAAGUGGGCAGCGGGGCAGAAUCAAAGGUUUGCAUCGUUUAGAACAGGUGCGGAACACGCGCCAGCGCCAGCGCGGAGGACCCCAAGUAAGGCCUUUACUCACCAAUGUACGUUUUGUACACCCAAUCUCGCCCCCUAUCGACGUUGGCACUAGGUAGCUGGCUAUCAUUCUAUGCAGAUUAAGCAAAGGGGCACCGGGAACAACUGACUCAUGUUCGUCACUGCAGGUUACUGCAAAUGCUGUCUCCACCUUUGCUGCACGGUUCCGUUUCGUCACGUUUGCUGGUGUUGCUACCCGCCGUUCUUUAGUGUGUAACUGAUCUGCGAACCGAGUCCCCUUCAGCUGAUGAACCCCGCAGCAACUUUUCCAAAAGCGCUUCAAAUACGCCCAGCCCGCCCAUGGAGAAAGAGGCCAAAAUCAACGGAGGAUCGUUACAACCAACAAAAUUGCAAAACUCCUCCGCUUUUUACGUGUUGAAAAAGACUGAUCAGCACGAAACGGGGAGCUAAGCUACCGCUUCAGCACUUGAGAGCAGUAUCUUCCAUCCACCGCCGUUCGUCAGGGGGCAAGGCUCAGAUCAACGAGCGCCUCCAUUUACACGGAGCGCUUGUUGGCGGGCUGCCAGUCGCGGGCAGACUUGGGGCGCUGGACCAGGAAGCCCAUGAUCUGCACCUGCUUCUGGUUGUCGAAGGCCACCAGGCGCACGUAGGCAUCGGGGAAGGCCUUGGUGCAGGCGACGAUCUCGCGCAGCACCUGCAUGGGGUCGCGGCAGCCGAACAUGGGCAGCUUCCACAUGGUCCAGUAGCGGUU